UACGUAGGGGGCGAGCGUGGUCCGGAUUUAUUGGGCGUAAAGAGCUCGUAGGCGGUUUGGUAAGUUGGAUGGGAAAUCUCCAGGCUCAACUUGGAGGGGUCAUUCGAUACUGCCAUGACUAGAGUUCGGUAGGGGAGUGUGGAAUUCCUGGUGGAGCGGUGAAAUGCGCAGAUAUCAGGAGGAACACCCGUAGCGAAGGCGGCACUCUGGGCCGGAACUGACGCUGAGGAGCGAAAGCGUGGGGAGCGAACAGG
rnacentral:rRNA from 1 species